rnacentral:lncRNA from 1 species
UAUUUAUAGUGUAUAUAUUGCAGAUAAAAUAAGUACUUUGCAGGUGCUUAAGAACGUGGAGACAUGGAAUAUCGUAAUGGCCAACACGAACACGAGAAGAAGUUACUUAGGAUGUACCAACGAGAUCUUCUUACAUAUCUUCAUUAUUUCUUUAUUCAUCUUAAGAAUUCAUAUCACACAAACAAACACACGGUUUGAUCUCUCUUGCAAGCAGAUGCAGAAGAAAAAACAAACAUAAAGAGACAAAAAAGUUAGAAGCUUUUCAAUU